UACGAAGGGGGCUAGCGUUGCUCGGAAUCACUGGGCGUAAAGGGUGCGUAGGCGGGUCUUUUAAGUCAGGGGUGAAAUCCUGGAGCUCAACUCCAGAACUGCCUUUGAUACUGAAGAUCUUGAGUUCGGGAGAGGUGAGUGGAACUGCGAGUGUAGAGGUGAAAUUCGUAGAUAUUCGCAAGAACACCAGUGGCGAAGGCGGCUCACUGGCCCGAUACUGACGCUGAGGCACGAAAGCGUGGGGAGCAAAAGGG
rnacentral:rRNA from 1 species